UGCGAGUCAUAUGUUCUUCGUGAACAUGGCGUACUGCUCAGUAACACGUGGAUAACCUGCCCUUGGGACCGGGAUAACCCCGGGAAACUGGGGAUAAUACCGGAUAACGCAUAUCUGCUGGAAUGCUUUAUGCGUAAAAUGGAUUUGUCUGCCCAAGGAUGGGUCUGCGGCCUAUCAGGUAGUAGUGGGUGUAAUGUACCUACUAGCCUACGACGGGUACGGGUUGUGAGAGCAAGAGCCCGGAAAUGGAUUCUGAGACAUGAAUCCAGGCCCUACGGGGCGCAGCAGGCGCGAAAACUUUACAAUGCGGGAAACCGUGAUAAGGGGACACCGAGUGCCAGCAUCAUAUGUUGGCUGUCCAGAUGUGUAAAAUACAUCUGUUAGCAAGGGCCGGGCAAGACCGGUGCCAGCCGCCGCGGUAACACCGGCGGCCCGAGUGGUGAUCGUGAUUAUUGGGUCUAAAGGGUCCGUAGCCGGUUUGGUCAGUCCUCCGGGAAAUCUGACGGCUCAACCGUUAGGCUUUCGGUGGAUACUGCCAGACUUGGAACCGGGAGAGGUAAGAGGUACUACAGGGGUAGGAGUGAAAUCUUGUAAUCCCUGUGAGACCACCUGUGGCGA
rnacentral:rRNA from 1 species